GGACUCAUAUUGAAACCUAGUGAUGUAUGAGUUAGUGGCGGACGGGUGAGUAACGCGUGGAGAACCUGCCGUAUACUGGGGGAUAACACUUAGAAAUAGGUGCUAAUACCGCAUAAGCGCACAGCUUCGCAUGAAGCAGUGUGAAAAACUCCGGUGGUAUACGAUGGAUCCGCGUCUGAUUAGCUUGUUGGCGGGGUAAAGGCCCACCAAGGCGACGAUCAGUAGCCGGCCUGAGAGGGUGAACGGCCACAUUGGGACUGAGACACGGCCCAAACUCCUACGGGAGGCAGCAGUGGGGAAUAUUGCACAAUGGGGGAAACCCUGAUGCAGCGACGCCGCGUGAGUGAAGAAGUAUUUCGGUACGUAAAGCUCUAUCAGCAGGGAAGAAAAUGACGGUACCUGACUAAGAAGCCCCGGCUAACUACGUGCCAGCAGCCGCGGUAAUACGUAGGGGGCAAGCGUUAUCCGGAUUUACUGGGUGUAAAGGGAGCGUAGACGGCAGCGCAAGUCUGGAGUGAAAUCCCAUGGCUUAACCAUGGAACUGCUUUGGAAACUGUGCAGCUGGAGUGCAGGAGAGGUAAGCGGAAUUCCUAGUGUAGCGGUGAAAUGCGUAGAUAUUAGGAGGAACACCAGUGGCGAAGGCGGCUUACUGGACUGUAACUGACGUUGAGGCUCGAAAGCGUGGGGAGCAAACAGGA
rnacentral:rRNA from 1 species